CCAGAGGCCGAGAGGCUGCCUAAAACCAUCGCGAACCCGUCCAAGUUGCUUCGGCGGCGCGGAGUCCCCUCCACAGGGGCCGCCGCAGCCCUACAGCGCCCGCCGGAGGCACGAAACUCCAGUGUAUUAUAGUGGCAUCUCUGAGUACUAAACAAAUAAGUCA
rnacentral:misc_RNA from 1 species